UACAGAGACUGCAAGCGUUAUUCGGAUUCACUGGGCGUAAAGGGUGCGCAGGCGGCCGUGUGUGUGAGGCGUGAAAGCCUGGAGCUUAACUCCAGAAUUGCACCUCAAACUACAUGGCUAGAGCAUUUGGAGAGGGUAGCAGAAUUCAAUGGUGUAGCAGUGAAAUGCGUAGAUAUCAAUGAGGAAUACCAGAGGCGAAAGGCGGCU
rnacentral:rRNA from 1 species